UAGUUUAAAAUAAUUUGAUUCUGGUUAUUGACUUAGCUGUUUUAAGAUUAAUACAUGAUAAUGUAAUGUGGGCUAGCGAGGAUGCAAAGAUCUUAAAGAGUUAAGAAAAAUAUUAUUUUUAGAAUUUUUAUAAUGAUUGUGUGUACGCAGCAUCAGUAUAAAAUAUUAAUUAGUGUAACACGAAAGUGUGUAUUAGUUAUUAAAAACAAGGCGAGCUAAUUUUGUGCCAGCUGCUGCGGUUAUACAAAAGGCCCUAGUUAAGUAUCAGUGGGUAAAAGGAGGUUAACAGGAUGGGUUGAGAGUUAAAUUGGAAUUGGGGGGUAAAAUCUGUAUAUUCUUUUUAAUCUAAUUUCUCGUUUUUGUUGUGUGACGCCUUGUUUAGCUUUGGAUAAAAACUAGGAUUAGAGACCCUGUUAUUCUUUUGUUUAAAUUUUUUACACCGGGGUAUUAAGAGAGUGCUUAAAACCCAAAGAAUUUGGCGGUACUUUACUCUGUUUAGGGGAACCUGUCCUGUGAUCGAUAAUCCUCGUUGAAGCGAACUUUUGUUUUUGUUUAUUUGUUUGUAUACUUCCGUUGUCAGCAUAUGCUUAAAAGUUUUAUGUGCUAAAUAAAUUUUAUGUUUUUGACAUCAGGUCACUGUGCAGCGAUACAAAAGGAGAGAUGGGUUACAUUUGAUUAGUUGUUCGGUUAGUUUUUUGGAAAAAAUGCUUUAAGCUGGACUUAAUAGUAAUUUUUUAUAAGAAAGAUAUUUUGAAUUAUGCGCUAAAGUGUGUACAAAUCGCCCGUCGCUCUUUUCGAUUAAAGGUAAGAUAAGUCGUAACAUAGUAAGAGUAGUUGAAACUGUUCUUAUUUU
rnacentral:ncRNA from 1 species